ensembl:snRNA U6 U6 spliceosomal RNA
GUGCGCACUUCAGCAACACAUAUACUAAAAUUAGAAUGAUACAGAGAUUAGCAUGGCCCUGAACAAGGAUGGCAUGCAAAUUCAUGAAGCAUUCCAUAUUUCA